rnacentral:rRNA from 1 species
AGCGAACGCUGGCGGCAUGCUUAACACAUGCAAGUCGCACGGAGGGGGCAACCCCUCAGUGGCGGACGGGUGAGUAAUGCGUAGGUAUCUGUCCAUGGGUGGGGGAUAACAGCGGGAAACUGCUGCUAAUACCGCAUGACACCUGAGGGUCAAAGGCGCAAGUCGCCUGUGGAGGAGCCUGCGUCCGAUUAGCUUGUUGGUGGGGUAACGCCUACCAAGGCGAUGAUCGGUAGCUGGUCUGAGAGGAUGAUCAGCCACACUGGGACUGAGACACGGCCCAGACUCCUACGGAGCAGCAGUGGGAAUAUUGGACAAUGGGCGCAAGCCUGAUCCAGCAAUGCCGCGUGGAUGAAGAAGGUCUUCGGAUUGUAAAAGUCCUUUCGGCGGGACGAUGAUGACGGUACCCGCAGAAGAAGCCCCGGUAACUCGUGCCAGCCAGCCGCGGUAAAUAGUGUGUGUA